GGCGGCGUAGCUCAGUGGUAGAGCGAGGGACUCAUAAGCCCUAGGUCGCAGGUUCGAUCCCUGCCGCCGUCA
rnacentral:tRNA from 1 species